rnacentral:rRNA from 1 species
UAGGGAAUAUUAGUAAUGGGCGAAAGCCUGAACUAGCAACGCCGCGUGUGCGAAGAAGGCCUUCGGGUUGUAAAGCACUUUUAGAGAGGAUGGGGAAGGACGGUACUCUCAGAAUAAGUCUCGGCUAACUACGUGCCAGCAGCCGCGGUAACACGUAGGAGGCGAACGUUAUCCGGAUUUACUGGGCGUAAAGCGCGUGUAGGUGGUUUGGUAAGUAGGGCGUGAAAGCUCCCGGCUCAGCUGGGAGAGGCCGUUCUAGACUGCCAAGCUAGAGGAUGGUAGAGGGAGGUGGAAUUCCGGGUGUAGCGGUGGAAUGCGCAGAUAUCCGGAGGAACACCAGUGGCGAAGGCGGCCUCCUGGGCCACUCCUGACACUCAGACGCGAAAGCUAGGGUAGCAAACGG